AUUAAAAAAGGGUGCUGGCGCUGUGGCACAGCAGGUUAAAACCCUGGCCUGAAGUGCCAGAGUCCCAUAUGGAUGCCAGUUCUAGCCUUGGCUGCUCCUCUUCCAAUCUUGCUCUCUGCUAUGGCUUGGGAAAAGCAGUAGAAGAUGGCCCAAGUCCUUGGGCCUUUGCGCCCAUGUGGGAGACCCAGAAGAAGAUCCUGGCUCCUGGCUUUGGAUCAGUGCAGCUCUGGCUGUUGCAGCCAUCUGGGGAGUGAACCAGUGGGUGGAAGACCUCUCUCUCUCUGUCUCUACCUCUCUCGGUAACUCUGUCUUUCAAAUACAUAAAAUAAAUCUUUAAAAAAAGAAAUUAAAAAAAUAAAUUUUUGGAUCAAGACGUGAAAUAAAAAUUAAGUUUUUAAAAGCAUCUCUUUUAUAAACAGAGCUACUAAUAUCCUCAGAAAAGUAUUAAUGUAAUAAAUGAAAUCAUCUAAGAAAAUAUAUCAAUAAGAAGCAGGGACAUAAUAAAAAAUGCAAGGGUGGUUAACAUUCCCAGACAAGCCAUCCAGGCAGGUAAAAAUCACAAGAAGAAAAUCCCAUGGUCAUUUAGAUUCCGUGUUGGAAAGCAUUUAGUGAAGUUCAGCAGCUAGGAAAGAGAAAACUGCUAGCAGAGCAACAACAAAAAAGCCAGCGACUUCUUUACUGUGCCUGAGAGUGAAAUGAACCUACAGCAAAUGACGCAAAUAAUAAGGGCUCAUUGAAAGCUUUUUUCCUUACAGUAAACCUAGGCCAUGAUUCCUGCACUCUCUCUCAGACUUUCUACUACAGGUGUAAUAAAGGAAAUAAAACAGCAAAAAGUAAUUACAUGGUAUAAAGAUCAAUUUCUAAGUCAUAAAAUGUGAAUAUCCUGGGUGAUGCUUAUAUAAGGAGAUAAUCCAUAAAAAUCUAAAAACUGAUAAAUGAGAUUACUGGAAGAUUUAUACAUACGUGUGUGUGUGUGUGUUCUAAUUACUAAGUACUAGCAGGAAACAGAAAAUAAUAAUAAAGGACAGGCAGACUAAAAAAAAAAAAAAAAACAAGUGAAAUUGGAGGAUUCAAUUUUGUGAUAUCCUUAAAUAUUCUUUAAAUCAAUACUUAAAAAACCACAGAUGAUUCAACAGAAAAAGUAUCACAUAGAUGAUGAAAAAGAAAGGCUCUGAAGCCAAUAAACAGCCAUUAAAUGGUAACCGACCUGAGUUAGUUUACUGCAAGCUCCAAGUAGGAUCCUCUCAGGAAGAUGAAGGUGGGAGCCCAGCAGUGAACAGGACCAGAGAGGAGAUCCCACCUCUUGCUGCAGGGAGGGUGGUGCGCAAGAGGACGAAGUUUCAGAAAUGAACCCAAGACUCCUUCUUGCUUCUGCCUCCAGCAAGACCUGGAGUUAUGCAGCAGCGUUAUGGAGGACGCGGAUUGGCUGCAUCUUUUAUGACGUGGUGCAUCCUCACAGCUAGGCAAGCUGUCCAAUCAGGUGUGGUAGCAUAAGUGCUACGUAAUCCCACGGAAUCUUGACAUCAUAGUAGUCAACCAGUUCCGUGGUGGAGAGGCCCUAGGAGGGGCUCCAACACUCAGAACUCUGAAUGUAGCCCACGUCCAUUGUUCUCGUACCUUCUUCCAUAGCAGGAAGCUGCUCAUCUAGGACCUCGGGACAUGGUUUUGAAUGGAUUGUUAGAUCAUUUGUUUGAUCCUUUUCCAAUUUUGAGCUGCUCUUCUGGGGAAGAAAAUCUGCUCCACUUGCAGGAUACUUAAGUCCAGCAGUGGAGGAAGAAUAAUUGAAAGAGCCCACAGUUGAGUUCAAGGCAAAAAGACACUUGCUUCCAUGUGAGAAUGACUGAGAAUACUGUCUUGGUUGGGUAAAAGUCAUCAUGAAGAGGAUCAGGGACCUCUGCAUCUCCAAGUAUAUUUCUACCUCCCAGCUGUGAACCCAGACUAGGGCAUCCAUUGAAUAAACAAUGAUUCCAUA